rnacentral:rRNA from 1 species
ACUGUACGAGUUUGAUCAUGGCUCAGGAUGAACGCUAGCGGCAGGCCUAACACAUGCAAGUCGAGGGGUAUAGUUCUUCGGAACUAGAGACCGGCGCACGGGUGCGUAACGCGUAUGCAAUCUACCUUUUACAGGGGAAUAGCCCAGAGAAAUUUGGAUUAAUGCCCCAUAGUGUUAUAGAAUCGCAUGGUUUUAUAACUAAAGUUCCAACGGUAAAAGAUGAGCAUGCGUCCCAUUAGUUAGUUGGUAAGGUAACGGCUUACCAAGACAAUGAUGGGUAGGGGUCCUGAGAGAGAGAUCCCCCACACUGGUACUGAGACACGGACCAGACUCCUACGGGAGGCAGCAGUGAGGAAUAUUGGACAAUGGGCGCAAGCCUGAUCCAGCCAUGCCGCGUGCAGGAAGACGGUCCUAUGGAUUGUAAACUGCUUUUGUACAGGAAGAAACACUCCCUCGUGAGGGAGCUUGACGGUACUGUAAGAAUAAGGAUCGGCUAACUCCGUG